rnacentral:rRNA from 1 species
AACUAACGCUGGCGGCGUGCCUAACACAUGCAAGUCGUACGAGAAAGUUGGCUUCGGCCGAUGAGUAAAGUGGCGCACGGGUGAGUAACGCGUGGAUAAUCUGCCUUUUAGUUGGGAAUAACGUACCGAAAGGUGCGCUAAUACCGAAUAAUACUGAAUGACAUCAGUUGUUUAGUCAAAGAAGGUCUCUGCUUGCAAGCUUUUGCUGAAAGAUGAGUCCGCGUACCAUUAGCUAGUUGGUGGGGUAAUGGCCUACCAAGGCGACGAUGGUUAGCUGGUCUGAGAGGAUGAUCAGCCACACUGGAACUGAGACACGGUCCAGACUCCUACGGGAGGCAGCAGUGAGGAAUAUUGCGCAAUGGGGGCAACCCUGACGCAGCAACGCCGCGUGAGUGAGGAAGGUUUUCGGACCGUAAAGCUCUGUCGAGCGGGAAGAAAUGUAUGGUGGCUAAUAUCCAUCAUGCUUGACGGUACCGCUAAAGG